UGAAUAGUCUUUCUUUUGUUCUUGGUGCAAAACUUUCCUUUCAGUAGUGAUGAUUAGGGCCAUCUUGCUGGUGCCCAAUGCAUCUUGGGGAGAAGGCACAAAGGUAGCUGUAAACUACCCUUUCAACUCUGUGAUCCUCAUAUCACUAGGCUCAUCAAGGCAGUUGGUUGUAAUGCCACUAAUGGUAAAAAGCUUGUUGCAGAGGAAGAUACUGUAAGUUACCAGCACCUUAGGCAUCAUUAAUGUGCCUACAUCAUAGAUGGUAGAUACCUACAUCAUAGUGGCACAUUAGAGUUUUUCAGUAUGUCACCAGGUACUCACUGUUGGAUCAGGAAGACCUGCCUACCACAGAUAUGUCCUAGUGGUAAGGCAGUAACGUAAUGAAGCAGCACAUGCCCUGCCCUGGAAGGGACCCCCACUUCGUGCAGCAGCUCUGAAGACUGAAAUCUUGCAGCUGCGGUGGUGACUCAAUCGCUGAUUAUUUAAGUACAGAGUUUUCAGCAGAGAAUGAAGUCUGAUAGUCAGUACCUUGAAGGCAGUAAGUCUCGCCAUAUGGCAGCAAAAUAAAUGGAUAAAGACUUCAGCAGAGACGGAGGAUGCAGAGAUGUCACACAGCACAGAUUAGAACAGUCGUUUUGUAAAUGUCUCACAGAAUAAUUGCACAAGCAAGUAGCCUGCAUACUAAAUCCAGCAUUCACAGACCCACCCCUGAACAGUGAUUUUAAGUGAAGAAAAACAAAACUUAUUUGAGUUAAGGACCCGAGCAACACCAGGGGGUUCUCUCCAUUUCCUGACUGAUGGCCACAUUGUGCCCUCACAGAUCCAAGCAUGGGCACUCUCCACCCCAAGAAGGUAGCAUCCCUUCUAAAGACAAGCGCAUCACACAUCUCUGCAGCACGUUCACCCACUGAGCCUUGUAGAGCCCUUUGUAGGUUUGGUAUCUGUGCGGUGACCAAUGCAUGAGAUAAUUGUUGACAUAAAGCCGCCAUAAACCGUUGCUGACGACCUGUGGGAUUAAUGGACUGAGGAAGAGAUGGCAAAGUAUUAGUUUUUUUCCACAGUCUGGAUUACAGUUUG